rnacentral:misc_RNA from 1 species
AGGACGACUAGGAAGCACACCAAAGUAGCAACCACGGAUGUAAGAAUAGUCUUUGUUAAGUGAUGAAGGAAAGAAAAAACAGAAUCACCCAAAAAGUACGGCUUUGUGAUGUUAACAGCAGAAUCUACGGGUACAAAGGAGUGAUAGAAAAGAUCGUUCAGUUUAUCUGGCUUAAAAGAUCACCCAUAUUGAUGGUGCAUCUUCUUCUACUUAUU